UGAACGCUGGCGGCAUGCUUUACACAUGCACGUCGAACGGUAACAGGCCUUCGGGUGCUGACGAGUGGCGAACGGGUGAGUAAUGCAUCGGAACGUGCCCAGAGGUGGGGGAUAACGCAGCGAAAGCUGUGCUAAUACCGCAUGUGAUCUGAGGAUGAAAGCGGGGGACCAGGCAGCAAUGUUUGGCCUCGCGCCUUUGGAGCGGCCGAUGUCAGAUUAGGUAGUUGGUGGGGUAAAGGCCUACCAAGCCGACGAUCUGUAGCUGGUCUGAGAGGACGACCAGCCACACUGGGACUGAGACACGGCCCAGACUCCUACGGGAGGCAGCAGUGGGGAAUUUUGGACAGUGGGCGCAAGCCUGAUCCAGCAAUGCCGCGUGCGGGAAGAAGGCCUUCGGGUUGUAAACCGCUUUUGUACGGAACGAAAAGGCUCUGGCUAAUACCUGGGGCUGAUGACGGUACCGUAAGAAUAAGCACCGGCUAACUACGUG
rnacentral:rRNA from 1 species